GAUGAACGCUGGCGGCGUGCCUAAUACAUGCAAGUCGAGCGAACAGACGAGGAGCUUGCUCCUCUGACGUUAGCGGCGGACGGGUGAGUAACACGUGGAUAACCUACCUAUAAGACUGGGAUAACUUCGGGAAACCGGAGCUAAUACCGGAUAAUAUAUUGAACCGCAGGGUUCAAUAGUGAAAGACGGUUUUGCUGUCACGUAUAGAUGGAUCCGCGCCGCAUUAGCUAGUUGGUAGGGUAACGGCUUACCAAGGCAACGAUGCGUAGCCGACCGGAGAGGGGGAUAGGCGACACGGGAACUGAGACAGGGUCAAGACGCCUACGGGAGGCAGCAGUAGGGAAUCGUCCGCAAUGGGCGAAAGCCUUGCGGAGCAACGCCGCGUGAGUGAUGAAGGUCUUCGGAUCGUAAAACUCUGUUAUUAGUGAAGAACAAAUGUGUAAGUAACUAUGCACGUCGUGACGGUACCUAAUCAGAAAGCCACGGCUAACUACGUG
rnacentral:rRNA from 1 species